UACGUAGGGUGCAAGCGUUAAUCGGAAUUACUGGGCGUAAAGCGUGCGCAGGCGGUUGUGCAAGACAGAUGUGAAAUCCCCGGGCUUAACCUGGGAACUGCAUUUGUGACUGCACGGCUAGAGUGUGUCAGAGGGGGGUAGAAUUCCACGUGUAGCAGUGAAAUGCGUAGAUAUGUGGAGGAAUACCGAUGGCGAAGGCAGCCCCCCGGGAUAACACUGACGCUCAUGCACGAAAGCGUGGGGAGCAAACAGG
rnacentral:rRNA from 1 species